AUUGAACGCUGGCGGCAGGCCUAACACAUGCAAGUCGAGCGGAUGAAGGGAGCUUGCUCCUGGAUUCAGCGGCGGACGGGUGAGUAAUGCCUAGGAAUCUGCCUGGUAGUGGGGGAUAACGUCCGGAAACGGGCGCUAAUACCGCAUACGUCCUGAGGGAGAAAGUGGGGGAUCUUCGGACCUCACGCUAUCAGAUGAGCCUAGGUCGGUUUAGCUAGUUGGUGGGGUAAAGGCCUACCAAGGCGACGAUCCGUAACUGGUCUGAGAGGAUGAUCAGUCACAUUGGAACUGGGACACGGUCCAGACUCCUACGGGAGGCAGCAGUGGGGAAUAUUGGACAAUGGGCGAAAGCCUGAUCCAGCCAUGCCGCGUGUGUGAAGAAGGUCUUCGGAUUGUAAAGCACUUUAAGUUGGGAGGAAGGGCAGUAAGUUAAUACCUUGCUGUUUUGACGUUACCAGCAGAAUAAGCACCGGCUAACUUCGUG
rnacentral:rRNA from 1 species